CCUACGGGCGGCUGCAGUGGGGAAUAUUGGACAAUGGGGGGAACCCUGAUCCAGCCAUGCCGCGUGUGUGAAGAAGGCCCUCGGGUUGUAAAGCACUUUCAGUGAGGAAGAACGCCUGGUGGUUAAUACCCAUCAGGAAAGACAUCACUCACAGAAGAAGUACCGGCUAACUCCGUGCCAGCAGCCGCGGUAAUACGGAGGGGUGCGAGCGUUAAUCGGAAUUACUGGGCGUAAAGCGCGCGUAGGUGGCUUGAUAAGCCGGUUGUGAAAGCCCCGGGCUCAACCUGGGAACGGCAUCCGGAACUGUCAAGCUAGAGUGCAGGAGAGGAAGGUAGAAUUCCCGGUGUAGCGGUGAAAUGCGUAGAGAUCGGGAGGAAUACCAGUGGCGAAGGCGGCCUUCUGGACUGACACUGACACUGAGGUGCGAAAGCGUGGGUAGCAAACAGGAUUAGAUACCCGGGUAGUC
rnacentral:rRNA from 1 species